CUGUAUAAAUACAUGUCAAAAAAGGUCAAAUAAAUGUCUUCAUUACUGUUGAAUAGCUGGCUGUCUUGCGCCAGCUAAUGUCAGGUUGCAGUAAAAUAGGUAACGUAUUGCCGCAAUACUUUAAGUUGGGUUCUUGAACGCCAUCAUUAGCCUACUUUUUGUUGAAGAUCAGAAAAUAAAUUCCAUAUAUUUGUUUUAGUUAAAAUCACAGGUGAUUGUGCACACCGCAUUAAAAUCCAGAAAUAGUAAACCGUCUCUCAACAAACUAUUGGCUAAUCUACGUGGUACACAGGAAAUAUUUUAUUUUAUUUUUGGUUACCCUGGAAAUUAUGACGUAUCUGCGGCAGUAGCUGGCAGGUAGCGUUAUUAUCACUUUGAGAACAGCUAAAUGUUUGAGAUUAGAACGUGAUUUAGCUGGCACGUUGAAGUUCUACCUGCUGUGCUACUUAUCUGUCUCCGUGAACAAAGCAUGAUGUGUGCGCUUUCGUUUGCUAUAUAAUUGCACUUAGGCUACAGUAAAGUCAAUGAACUCAUUGUUGCACUGCCCUUCUUAUUUCACAUGAAUAUAGGAAAUGCGGUAAUGAAUGUUUUCAAAUGAACGAUAACCAGGCUACAUCCGGUUCGUGGGCAAAUGACAGUUGGCUACUAUGAAGCGAGUAUACUAUAGUGGAUUAUUUCACAAAUAAGAGCCUGGUGUUCGUUCAUUAAAUUGAACCAUGUGAGGGGGGCUGUGUUACUCGCUAACUUAUUUUACACUUGGAAUCCAGCUUGAAGUGUAUAUCUGUGGUGUCACCACUGAGGCCAACAGGAAGACAGAGUGCGGAAGCUGUCUCUGCUUAGUCGACAUGACUGAAUUCUGGGUCUGUUUCAGUUGCUGCAUUGCAGAGCAACCCCAGCCAAAAAGUCGACGGCGAAUUGACCGUUCUAUGAUCGGAGAGCCAACCAAUUUUAUCCACACCACACAUGUGGGAUCUGGGGACAUGAGUUUGGGAUUUUCAUCUGUGGAAUCUUUUCAAGUUCAAAUGAAAUCAAAAGGCG